rnacentral:rRNA from 1 species
UACCAGCACCCCGAGUGGUCGGGACGUUUAUUGGGCCUAAAGCAUCCGUAGCCGGUUCUACAAGUCUUCCGUUAAAUCCACCUGCUUAACAGAUGGGCUGCGGAAGAUACUAUAGAGCUAGGAGGUGGGAGAGGCAAGCGGGUAGACUCGAUGGGUAGGGGUAAAAUCCGUUGAUCCAUUGAAGACCACCAGUGGCGAAGGCGGCUUGCCAGGAACGCGCUACGGACGGUGAG